AUUGAACGCUGGCGGCAGGCCUAACACAUGUAAGUCGAGCGAGCGGCGGACGGGUGAGUAAUGUAUGGGGACUGCCCGAUAGAGGGGGAUAACUACUGGAACCGGUAGCUAAUACCGCAUACUAUCGGAUACCCCAUAUGGGAUUAGCUAGUAGGUGGGGUAAGGGCUCACCUAGGCGACGAUCCGUAGCUGGUUUGAGAGGACGACCAGCCAAACUGGGACUGAGACACGGCCCAGACUACUACGGAGGGAGCAGUGGGGAAUGUUGGACAAUGGGGGAAACCCUGAUCCAGCCAUCCCGCGUGUAUGAUUAAGGCCUUCGGGUUGUAAAGUACUUUUGGCAGAGAAGCGGUAUCUGCAGAAUAAGCACCGGCUAACUACGUGCCAGCCGCCGCGGUAAUAC
rnacentral:rRNA from 1 species